rnacentral:rRNA from 1 species
ACUGCUCAGUAACACGUGGAUAACCUGCCCUUGGGUCCGGCAUAACCCCGGGAAACUGGGGAUAAUUCCGGAUAACGCAUAUGUGCUGGAAUGCUUUAUGCGUCAAAUGGAUUCGUCUGCCCAAGGAUGGGUCUGCGGCCUAUCAGGUAGUAGUGGGUGUAAUGUACCUACUAGCCGACAACGGGUACGGGUUGUGAGAGCAAGAGCCCGGAGAUGGAUUCUGAGACAUGAAUCCAGGCCCUACGGGGCGCAGCAGGCGCGAAAACUUUACAAUGCGGGAAACCGUGAUAAGGGGACACCGAGUGUCAGCAUCAUAUGCUGGCUGUCCAGGUGUGUAAAAUACACCUGUUAGCAAGGGCCGGGCAAGACCGGUGCCAGCCGCCGCGGUAACACCGGCGGCCCGAGUGGUGAUCGUGAUUAUUGGGUCUAAAGGGUCCGUAGCCGGUUUGGUCAGUCCUCCGGGAAAUCUGAUAGCUCAACUAUUAGGCUAUCGGGGGAUACUGCCAGACUUGGAACCGGGAGAGGUAAGAGGUACUACAGGGGUAGGAGUGAAAUCUUGUAAUCCCUGUGGGACCACCUGUGGCGAAGGCGUCUUACCAGAACGGGUUCGACGGUGAGGGACGAAAGCUGGGGGCACGAACCGGAUUAGAUACCCGGGUAGUCCCAGCCGUAAACGAUGCUCGCUAGGUGUCAGGCAUGGCGCGACCGUGUCUGGUGCCGCAGGGAAGCCGUGGAGCGAGCCACCUGGGAAGUACGGCCGCAAGGCUGAAACUUAAAGGAAUUGGCGGGGGAGCAC